rnacentral:rRNA from 1 species
GACGAACGCUGGCGGCGUGCCUAAUACAUGCAAGUCGAACGCAGUGGGGACGGGUGAGUAACACGUGGGUAACCUCCCAUCAGAGGGGAUAACACUUGGAAACAGGUGCUAAACCGAUAUUGAUGGAUGGACCCGCGGUGCAUCUGCUAGUUGGUUCUUUAACGGCUCACCAAGGACACGAGGCAUAGCCGACCGGAGAGAGGGGGGGGAAAACCUGUGACUGAGACACGGCCCAGAGGGCGGCGGGAGGAAGGGGGGGGGGGGCUGGGGGGGGGGACGAAAGUCUGACGGAGCAACGCCGCGUGAGUGAGGAAGGUUGGCGGAUAGGAACACUCUGUUGUUAGAGAAGCGGUAUCUAACCAGAAAGCCACGGCAAAAUACGAACCAGCAGCCGCGGUAAUAC